AUAGACCCAGCAAGAGAACCAACUGCAGCUGCAGCUACAGCUGCCACACCUGCCCUGGCCUGGGACUGAACACUCAGAUGAUGAUCAAUGAUCAAUGACAUUUCUCCAAAGGGAGCAUUGGGACCUCUUCUCCAAUGGAGUCCAAGGUUGUUAAGCAGAGGAAGGAAGAGAGAGGCUGGAGAUGUGGGUUAAGUGACAUUGAAGCAUCCAGCCUUGUGUGCACGCUUUUCACCAGUUCCUGCCGCCUGCCACCCUCACCUCAUUUUACAAGAGGUGACAAUAGAAACCCCCCCCCCCAUUGAGGGUACUCCAAAGAGAGAUCCUUUAAGGAGCACAUGAGGACACUCCCAAACCUGACCUGACCAGCAUCCCUCAGAUGCAGGAUGCUCAGGGCUCCUUUAUGACUUCCGAUGCUUCCUGCCUCCUCCAAUACAGCUCUGGGGGAAGCUGGGCAGGUUUGUGUGGGUACCUACAGAGGCCAGAGACACUGGAUUUCCUGAUGCGGCAGGUAACAGGCAGUCGUGAGCCGUCUGAUGUAGGUGCUGGGAACAGAACUCAGGUCCUCUGAAAAAGCAGCAAGUGCUCUAGACUGAUGCACCGUCUCUCAGCUCAUGGGUCAGAUUCUGGGUCUCCCAGGCUGAACUUGUCUUCCUGGAAUGCUGGAAUUACGGGUGAGUGACACCACACCUGGCCCACAUAGGCUUAGGGGAAUGAAUAAUGGGGGUCUGGAUUUGGUCCUUGGUGUUGUGUCAGCUGAGGGCAUUCCGUGGGUAACCUGUCCAGCCUGACUGUCUGCAGGGACAGAGGUGUUUUUAGGCCUGGCUUCAGCAGAAUUUGAAAAGCAGAGUUUCGGGCACUUAAAGGGGGAAAGCUGAGACAGAUACCUAAGGCCCAGGGUUGAGACAAAUAGGAUCCCUUGGGUGUCCCCAAGGCUGGAACUUUCUCACCAGGGAGAAUGAACCAGAGAGCAAGGUCUGGGGUCGGGUGGGGGUGUCAGAUCCAUUCCCUGAGCUGGUGAUGGGUCAGUACCAGUAAACAAACAAACCAAAGCAAGGAAGCAAGCAAACCCUCCAUGCCCCUCUUGGAUUUCCUUUCAUCUUUUCCUCACUGGCCCAGUUUCUCUUUGGUUCCUUCAGACUGCAGGGGUUCCAGACCCUCCUGCACGCCGUGAAUGGAGUGCGUGCCUCAGGAAACUAAUGACCUGCAUCAGUGUGUGUGUGCGCGCGCGCGCUCCAGCGUUCACCUCCCUGAAGAGAGAGUCUAUGGCUUUUAUCCAGGUCACCACAGAGCAGGUCUGUAAUUGCCCAUUCCCACUCUUGAGGUUAGAAACGUAGCCCUUGGGUCUUUUAUCUGGGUGUCUUCCAUUUGCUAAGAGCAGAGAAAGGAUGCACGUCACUAUGGCAGAGGCAAGAGGGGUAAGCUGCUUCCCGUGUUCUAGUUUACCUUCCACUAGCCUGAGUGUGCGUGCCAUCUGUGAACGUUAUCCGUGUCAUGCCACCCCCACCCCCUAUCCC